UACAGAGGGUGCAAGCGUUGUUCGGAAUUAUUGGGCGUAAAGCGCGUGUAGGCGGCUUUGCAAGUCGGGUGUGAAAGCCCUGGGCUCAACCUAGGAAGUGCAUUCGAAACUGCGAAGCUCGAGUCCUGGAGAGGAAGGCGGAAUUCUCGGUGUAGAGGUGAAAUUCGUAGAUAUCGAGAGGAACACCGGUGGCGAAGGCGGCCUUCUGGACAGUGACUGACGCUGAGACGCGAAAGCGUGGGGAGCAAACAGG
rnacentral:rRNA from 1 species